AUCUGUAACUGCUGGGAACCCUCCUCCUGCCUCUGCUUCCUGCCCGAACUUUCCGAUUUCUGGUCUGCCGCAGCCUGUGACCUUGGGGUUUCCAGUCCAAUAAGGGUGUCAACGCUGAACUUAAACACUGGCAUAGCACCCUCUAGAAUGGCUAAAAUGAAAGGACAAAUCUACCCAGGGUCGGGGAGGAUGUGCAGCAGCAGACUUCUUAGUCACUGCUGGUAGGAAUACGGACACUUUCCACAACUGUUUGGUGGCAUCUACAGAGCCAAAAGCAUCCACUUGGGCCUGGCAAUUCCACCCCAGGUGUGUUCACCAAAGACAUGUAUGUACCAGGACACACACAGAAGCUCUGCACAUCACCAGGAAUCCCCCAAAGCUCGUUCCAGCCAUUAUGGAAUGAAUAUGUCAAUUAAUUGCAGAGUCUUCACAUGGUGGAACAGGACACAGCACUGAGAACAAAGCAUCUACAACUACACAUAAGAGCAUGGAUGAAUCUCCCAAACAUCACGGUUUAAUACACUUCAUUAUUGAAAGAAGGAAAGAAUAAAAGAAGGAAGGAAAGAAGGUGACACUGAGGCUCAGGGAGGUGAAGAUAAGAUGUUCAAGGUAAUGGAAUUGGAAUGUGGUAGAUUCAGGAUUUGAAUUGUAAUUUUCCUGGCACCAGCAGAAGGAGCAGAAGGUAGAAGUGGGGAUUGGUGGGGUUGGGGAUCCUGGCUGGGUCAUACAUCUGCAAAGAGUUUGCACUUUUCCCUGCAAGCAAGAUUGCAACGUGGCAGCCCUUGAACCAAAUUCUGCCUGCAGGUGUGCUUUAUUUGCCUACAUGGUG